ACAAUACCCAAAAAACAAAAUAAUAGAAAAGUCCCUAUGCUGGGCAUUCAUUCACUGGACGCGCGUUCUAUGUUCAUUUUUCCCCAAAUUGCUUUAGCCAUUCUCGUCUUCCAUCUCAGAUGCAAACCCUUCAAUUUCACUUUCAUUAUCAGAUUUUCCCGUCAAAUGGAAAUAGGUCACCCUAUCAAUCAACACUUCCCUCCUCGCUCACCUCGGUGCAUCCAACAUCACUGUUCUCUCAUCACCCAGAAAACCCUAAUCUUCUUCCGCGCCAUCCAAAUCAAGACAGAAAAUAGCUGAGGAGUGGAAUCCUUAGUCAAUCAAAGUUGAAAGUUCAGGCUGGGUUUAUGUUUUGUAUUAGUGUGCAGAAUUGAAAAAAGAAGAAAAGAAGGAUAUUCAAUCCAAGUUCUUACUAAUUAAGGUUGUUUCAAGAAGUUCCCAGCUUUUGUUCAUUCUAUUUAUUGGGUUGCUGAAUUUCGAGUUUGCUAUGAUUCAGUUUAUAAGAUACAAGCAAGGAUGUGGUUAAUUUAGUUUAGAAUUGGAAUUGCAUGUUGCAUUAGUUUAUAGUUGCUUUUGCUAUUGACUUCGUGUAAAUAGCAGCAACAUUUAGAUCAUUAUUAGAUUUAUCCUUAAGCUUGAAGUGAUUUUUGGCUCUCUGUAUUGUUGUUUUUAACUUUUCCUUUGGGUAUAUCUCUAUUUUGCUAUUAGUGGCUGUUAACUCAAUUCUUUUAUUUGAUCCGGGUUUAUUGUUGGACCAUUUGGUGCUUCUACUUCCGUGCUCCGUUGAAAGAGAGAGAAGGGAAACAGGGAGUUGGAGAGGAGGAAGGGAGAAGAUCAUCAAGGAAUAAGAAUUUGUUAUUAUGAUUUUGACAAUGUUGUGGUCUCUGACGGUUAUGGUGGUAGCUCAGGUGUAUGUGAUUAGUGGGACUGUUGCUCAGUGGUACUUCACCAAGGAAGACUCGACUCCAAAGCGGGUUAUUAGAAGUUCCUUAAGCAAUAGGAGGGAGAGUGAGUGCUUAAUGUGAGAAAAAGAGGAGGGCGAAUCAGUUUGUGUUUCUUUUGAAAAAGGUUUCACCUGCUACUACUAUUAUUGCUGCAACUCAUUUAUCUGUUGUGAAAUAGGUGUGCAAGGUCAGUGUUUUUUCUUUUGGUCCGUAUUGUUGAUCUCCUACCUCUGUUUAUAGCUUUUCAGUUAUCCGCUCCGCACUUGGCUACCCAGCGUUUACCGUGGGCACGAUAACUCCAUAUAGUAGAUUGGCUGGGUCAUAUCUGGCACUUACAAGCGAGCUUUCCCUGCCCUUGGUAUCAGAAGGUGCCCCUUUCCCCUGCACUCAGCCUACAAUAUUUCAGAGGUUGCAAAUUUCAAGCGUGAGAUCAUACAUGCAUCCUCACCUGGAAUCAUGGUGUACAUUUAUUUUCUUGUUCUUUCGGUGGUAAAGUGUAGACGACAAUUACCAAAAUUAUUUUGUAGAUAUAUACCAAGAUACACCUUCAGUUGCCUCUAAUCACCCUAUUUUUGACUUCGUAUUCAUAUGUUUCUCCAAUAUCACUAUAAUUAUAUUGCAGUGGAGAUAUGUAGGCUGCUAUUGAUAGUGUAUUAAAGGCCUCUCAAAGUAGUGAAUGAAGGUAGUGGAGAUCAGCCCCAGUAUUGCAUGUCUCCUGUCAUAUGAGAUAAAUAGGUUAUGAACUUGUAAUUAUGAAUUGUUUAGUAGAUUGUACUUGUAGCUUAGAAUACAAUUAUGUGUAAUAAUAAGUGUCUUCUUUUAUGUCCAAGGACAUCCGUUUUGGAUUUAAUGAUUCUUUGUAAAUGUCCUCUUUUCUUUUUAAGGACACUUUUUAUUGAUACAAGAACUUUUUUUUUUGUGUCC